UCUUCUUCUUCCUAAUAGCCUAUUCCAAAAUUGCUUCUCUCUCACUUUCCCUGUAUUUUCUGUGCUUCUUCUUCCUUUUGAGUUCUAUGUUUGCAUCUCUAUUUAGUAUUUAGUCAUUUAUGGUUACUUUUGAUUCUUCAAGUGUUGCAUGCUGGUUUUACAUGAUUUAGAAGUGAUCGGAAAGAAACCAAACGAAAACGAGGCAAAAAGGAGCUAAAAUGAAGAAAAUGAGAAGAGUGACUAAAAUGCAAAGUAUUUGAUAGAUCUACAAAUCUGGGGCUAUUUUCGUCAUUUCCAACUAGAAAAGUUGUGGAGCUGCAAGAAGAAAGACUUGGAGAACAUUAUUUUCAUCUUUAGCCAUUUUACAAUGUCACGACCCAACUAGGGGCCAUGACGGGUAUCCGGGGCUAACCACCGAGCACCGCUCAUACCAUUACCCAUUGUACUCAUCAAGCGUUCAUUCAUUAAUCUUAUACUCAAAUCAUAGGAAAA